CCUGAAGGCAUUGCAUGUACUGAUUUGCCACAGCAAUGGCGGGUGCCGCGUGGAAAGGUAAUCAAGGGCAGCUCUGUUCAAGGGAUUGAUUGGAGGAGCGUGAGAGAAGGCGGCCUGAGUGUCCCAAAACUUGCCAGGCCAACAGAGCGGCGAGUGAACCUACGCACAAAAGAAGAGCAAGCAGUUGCACAAGAAAAGCUUUGCCGCAGCAUUCUCGCAAGAGAUACCAAUAAUGCAUUUGCCCGAGGGCCCUCGUUGACGCCGGGGCAGCCGUAUAAAGAAACUAAAUAUGGCCUGGCCCCGGCCUCAUCAACACUUGCCUACCAGCAAGCACUGCUGCCUCACGGAUUUAUGCACAGUUGUCUGGCAUUACAUCGGUGUCACAUGCCUCCACCCAGCUAGUGCCGACUCCGGACCUGUUCAAGAAUUUUGAGCCUUGGAUUCCAGCUGUUCAGCAAACAAGCUCUGCAAUUCUUGAGAAGGUGAGAACAACCCGGGAGUCAUCUUUGGCACUCGAACGUGACACAAGGCAGCAGUCGCGUAGCACAACUUGGCAGAAGGAGAGGGCUUCGAGGCUGACGGCAUCAAACUUUGGUGUCGUGCUUGCGAGGCAGCAUUGGUCAUCAAAAGGCCUGCAAGCUAUCACAGCUAGCAGAGACCUCUCAAGGGUGGCUCCUAUCAGGUACGGCAUCUCCAAUGAGCCCAUGGCUGCAAAGCGCUACGAGGAAGUGCUUCAAAACAUGGGUCACGACGUGACCGUUGCACACUGCGGCCUGCUGGUCAACCCUGCCUUUCCUUGGCUCGGAGCAUCACCCGACAGGCUCGUGUAUGAUCCUGCAGAAGGCUCAUAUGGGGUACUCGAAAUUAAGUGCCCAUAUAGCCUCCGUGAAAAGAAGCGAGAAGAACUUGCCACUGCCACAUUCUGUAGCGAGCUGACUGACAGUGGCCCAAGAUUGAAGAGGGAGGACUACUAUUACGCACAAUUAGUAGGCCAAAUGGGAGUUUCUGGGCUGAACUGGGGGGACUUCGUAGUGUACGGAAAAGAUUUCAUUUUAAUUGAACGAAUUCAGCUGAACAAAGCUGAGUGGGAUGGAAUGAGAGACCAGCUGAACUACUUUUACUUUAAUACUCUGCUGCCGUUUAUGGAAAUUGCUGAGCAAUGAGUCUGCUAUUUGGCAUGUAUGUGUUAUGUUAUCAUCGCCCAUAGAGCGAUAACAGCGGCUCGACUAUCGCGACCGUUCAUUAUAUAAACCCAGACAUGCGGCCGCAAAGCAGCAUUCCACUGCGCGCUGGCAUGGAAUAAACCCAGUUCUGCUCCCGCAUUCUUCCUUCGGCGGUGGUUUCCACCCCGACGAAACACGACAUUGGCGGCGAGCAUGGGACCUUGACCAAUUCUGCGGCAAGCUGACAUGGAAAUGGACGGUCCGGCGGAGGCGGGGGUAGUGACGCAAGUCGUGGGUCGACUGGGACACAUCGAGCCGUUCGACGAGUCUACAAGCGACUGGCCGUCGUACGAGGAACGCUUGUCAUCAUUUCAUCAGGUCAAACGCAUCCCCUAGGACGACAAGGUACACGCUUUUUUGAGCCUCAUAGGCCCAAAGACUUACGGUCUACUCAAGUCAUUGACCGCGCCGGAAUUGCCGUCAGCUAAAGGUUUCGAGUUGUUAAAGAAACUUCUUGGUGACCAUUUGUCACCGAAGCCGUCGGUCAUUAGCGAACGUUCAAAAUUUCACAGAAGAUCGCAACUUGAGAUUGAAUCAAUUUCGGAAUAUGUUGCGCAGUUGCGGAAAUUGGCACAGACAUGCGAAUUUGAAUCCGCCCUCGAUCAGUCACUGCGGGAUCGUUUUGUCUGUGGUCUGUGCCGAGAAGAUAUACAGCGCGUGUUAUUUACGGAUGAUAACAAGCUAAGAUUCCAGAAAGCCGUAGAACGAGCGCUAGCCAUGGAAGCAGCUAAAAAGAGCGUGGCCGAAGCGCACGCUUCAGAAUCAAGCGUACCAGACGUUCACAAAGUCGAAGCGGUUGGGACAACUGAUAUGACGCAGGGAAAAUGCUACCGCUGUGGGUCUGCGAAGCAUGCAAGCAGACUGUGCCCGCACAUCGCUGCCAUCUGUUUCAAAUGUGAUAAGAAAAUACACAUUCAAAGAGCGUGCCAAGUUAACAAGCAGAAAACAAUGAAGGGAGCACGCCGAAACGCUAUGAAAAUAUUGCGUCCCGUUCAAGCUUCUGUUAGCAUGAAGGAAAUUUUUUCGCCUGGUCUAGAGCCGAUAAAAAUUUCAAUUCAAGUACAAGACCUACCUCUGGAAAUGGAGUUGGAUACUGGGGCUACUGUGACCGUGAUGUAUUUGAAUCAGUUUCGUCAAAUGUUUCCCUCAACCAAGGUCAUGCCAACGACGCUGAAGCUGCGGUCGUUCGAGGGAGCCAUCAUCCAGCCUGUCGGAGUUGCCCACGUGGCCGUGCAGUACGGAGAGCAGAGGGCCCAGCUGCCUCUUUACGAGGGUAGCGAUGCGGGCUUGUUGGUCUGUCAUGGUUCUUGGAUGUGGGCGCGAAAAGACAAGGACGAAGGGAAGAAGGCACACACACUGGCGCUACCUUCGCAACGCGGUCUCGAGGAUGCCUUAACUGGAUCCUCUAAAGGUUCUCAGUAGCUUGAUCCGCAAGACGAAGAUGCCUUUUCAGAAGACAUGCCGCGACGCUAGACUCAAAGGCGGCGUGCAACUGUACACUGAGGUACGCCCGAAGCAAACGAGCUUGGCGUAGCCAUUCUGAGCGCAAAAUCUUCAACACUCUCUUCCCGUGUCCGAUGGACGGAGUAAAACCACCAAAGAUGGCUACAACGUCUUGUGGUAGAAAGCCUUUGCGAAUGCAAAAACUAAGCAUUCUUGAUCUGGAUAUAGCCGUGGCGAGGAAGGCAACAGUGCGGCUAGGAUCUUGACACACAAGUAAGAAAGGGCCCGAUGAACAAGAAAUGAAUUUGACGAGGGUAGCGAUGCGGGCUUGUUGGUCUGUCAUGGUACAUGGAUGUGGGCGCGAAAAGACAAGGACGAAGGGAAGAAGACACACACACUGGCACUACCUUCGCAACGCGGUCUCGAAGAUGCCUUAACUGGAUCCUCCAAAGGUUCUCAGUAGCUUGAUCCGCUAGACGAAGAUGCCUUUUCAGAAUACAUGCCGCGUCGCUAGACUCAAAGGCGGCGUGCAACUGUACACUGAGGUACGCCCGAAGCAAAAGAGCUUGGCGUAGCCAUUCAGAGCGCAACCUUUGGAGGAUCCAGUUAAGGCAUCUUCGAGACCGCGUUGCGAAAGUAGCGCCAGUGUGUGUGUCUUCUUCCCUUCGUUCUUGUCUUUUCGCGCCCACAUCUAAGUGCCUCUUUACAUCACGAGAGAAAAGGGACUGCCUCUGCUAGGUCGGCAAUGGUUGCACGCCAUCCGACUCGACUGGAGCCGUAUUUUCAAGCUCAACGCUAUUCCCAGGUCGGAAAAUUCUACAUGUACCAGACUACGCGCUCUUCUACACAAAUACAAGAGUUUGUUUAACCCUUUAAUGCAUGAAUUAUGAAAGCGCCGAACAAAAAAAAAUUGUUUUUCAUUUUUCAGCUUUAAAUAGCAGCCUUAACACAAAUCAGCAGUUGUAUUAUCCAAAAUGGGACUUUAACGCAUACUUUUAGGUAUGUCGCGAAUUCACGACAACCGGCACUUAAGCCAAUAGUAGCUCAAUAUGUUCAAUGCAACGCAAGUGUGGCAUCGCCGAAAAUGAUGCGGAUCUCUUCAGGGCGACGUAACUUGGCGUCGUCAUUGUUGUUAAAUGCAAGUUUGACUUGAUUGCCUCCUACCAAUCACGUGACAUCGUGUCGGCCACCAUAUGUGCCCUAGACUCCGCCGCCCAGUAUGGCCAACUUCUUGGGAGCCGACAGAAUGACAUGAAGGUGACGGCACCGAGAAAUAGAUCUAGCUCACCACGAGACAGAGCCAGUCCUUUGUUCGGAUUUUUCUGCGUCGCAAACAGAUCGCUCUGCUGAACGAUGUGUUCCGUGAAGGUGUCAUAAAAAAUUUCUUGAAAUAUUCCAUAGGAGCUCGGACAGCGUCACAUUGAGGAUGAGCGGUUUUCCAGUGUGGCAUUUCCCGCUGUUUUUGACAGUCUUUUUUUUUCCACCGCACUGCAUGUUUUAGAGAGGCACUAGAGUAGAGUAGAGCCUGGAAGCUGUGGCUCAUACCCACACUGGGGGAUUGGCCAAGAACCGGUUAGUUUUUAAAGGAAAAAUUGAAAUUGAAGUUCAAACUUUGUUUAAUUAAUACGAAAGAAGUAUAAAUGAAUUAGAGUUAAAAUUAUACUACUAAUAAUAAUAUAGCAUAGAAUUGAAUCAAUAAAACCGAUAAUUUUGGGGAAAAAUAGAAAUAAUAUUUUGGAAAGGUAAAUUUUACAAUCUAAAUCUUUUUGAACCUUUAAGAAAC